rnacentral:rRNA from 1 species
AGAGUUUGAUCCUGGCUCAGGAUGAACGCUAGCUACAGGCUUAACACAUGCAAGUCGAGGGGCAUCAGGAAGAAAGCUUGCUUUCUUUGCUGGCGACCGGCGCACGGGUGAGUAACACGUAUCCAACCUGCCCUUUACUCGGGGAUAGCCUUUCGAAAGAAAGAUUAAUACCCGAUAGCAUAAUGAUUCCGCAUGGUUUCAUUAUUAAAGGAUUCCGGUAAAGGAUGGGGAUGCGUUCCAUUAGGUUGUUGGUGAGGUAACGGCCCACCAAGCCUUCGAUGGAUAGGGGUUCUGAGAGGAAGGUCCCCCACAUUGGAACUGAGACACGGUCCAAACUCCUACGGGAGGCAGCAGUGAGGAAUAUUGGUCAAUGGGCGCUAGCCUGAACCAGCCAAGUAGCGUGAAGGAUGAAGGCUCUAUGGGUCGUAAACUUCUUUUAUAUAAGAAUAAAGUGCAGUAUGUAUACUGUUUUGUAUGUAUUAUAUGAAUAAGGAUCGGCUAACUCCGUGCCAGCAGCCGCGGUAAUACGGAGGAUCCGAGCGUUAUCCGGAUUUAUUGGGUUUAAAGGGAGCGUAGGUGGACUGGUAAGUCAGUUGUGAAAGUUUGCGGCUCAACCGUAAAAUUGCAGUUGAUACUGUCAGUCUUGAGUACAGUAGAGGUGGGCGGAAUUCGUGGUGUAGCGGUGAAAUGCUUAGAUAUCACGAAGAACUCCGAUUGCGAAGGCAGCUCACUGGACUGCAACUGACACUGAUGCUCGAAAGUGUGGGUAUCAAACAGGAUUAGAUACCCUGGUAGUCCACACAGUAAACGAUGAAUACUCGCUGUUUGCGAUAUACAGUAAGCGGCCAAGCGAAAGCAUUAAGUAUUCCACCUGGGGAGUACGCCGGCAACGGUGAAACUCAAAGGAAUUGACGGGGGCCCGCACAAGCGGAGGAACAUGUGGUUUAAUUCGAUGAUACGCGAGGAACCUUACCCGGGCUUAAAUUGCAGUGGAAUGAUGUGGAAACAUGUCAGUGAGCAAUCACCGCUGUGAAGGUGCUGCAUGGUUGUCGUCAGCUCGUGCCGUGAGGUGUCGGCUUAAGUGCCAUAACGAGCGCAACCCUUAUCUUUAGUUACUAACAGGUUAUGCUGAGGACUCUAGAGAGACUGCCGUCGUAAGAUGUGAGGAAGGUGGGGAUGACGUCAAAUCAGCACGGCCCUUACGUCCGGGGCUACACACGUGUUACAAUGGGGGGUACAGAAGGCAGCUAGCGGGUGACCGUAUGCUAAUCCCAAAAUCCUCUCUCAGUUCGGAUCGAAGUCUGCAACCCGACUUCGUGAAGCUGGAUUCGCUAGUAAUCGCGCAUCAGCCACGGCGCGGUGAAUACGUUCCCGGGCCUUGUACACACCGCCCGUCAAGCCAUGGGAGCCGGGGGUACCUGAAGUACGUAACCGCAAGGAUCGUCCUAGGGUAAAACUGGUGACUGGGGCUAAGUCGUAACAAGGUAGCCGUACCGGAAGGUGCGGCUG